rfam:Triticum urartu cultivar G1812 contig44269, whole genome shotgun sequence.
AACAUACUCCCUUCGUCCGAAAAUACUUGUCAUAAAAAUGAAUAAAAAAAGAUGUAUCUCGAACUAAAAUAUGUCUAAAUACAUCCAUUUAUAUCUAUUUUGAUGACAAAUAUUUUCGGACGGAGGGAGUACAAC